GACGAACGCUGGCGGCGUGCUUAACACAUGCAAGUCGUACGGUAAGGCCCUUUCGGGGGUACACGAGUGGCGAACGGGUGAGUAACACGUGAGUAACCUGCCCACAACUUUGGGAUAACGCUAGGAAACUGGUGCUAAUACUGGAUAUGUGCUCCUGCUGCAUGGUGGGGGUUGGAAAGCUCCGGCGGUUGUGGAUGGACUCGCGGCCUAUCAGCUUGUUGGUGGGGUAGUGGCCUACCAAGGCGGCGACGGGUAGCCGGCCUGAGAGGGUGACCGGCCACAUUGGGACUGAGAUACAGCCCAGACUCCUACGGGAGGCAGCAGUGGGGAAUAUUGCACAAUGGGCGCAAGCCUGAUGCAGCAACGCCGCGUGCGGGAUGACGGCCUUCGGGUUGUAAACCGCUUUCAGCAGGGACGAAGCUUUUUGCGACGGUACCUGCAGAAGAAGCACCGGCUAACUACGUG
rnacentral:rRNA from 1 species